GGGCGGGGCCUGCCGCCGCCGCCGCCGCCUCAGGGAAGGGGAAGGAGGCCGCGGUUUCGCGUCCCGCCUCUAGCCUGGCUGGCCAUGGGGGCCUGGACGCAGUGGCCUCCCGAAUCCCCCAGGAAUCUUAAUGUCGCCAGAGGAUGCUGGGAGGAACACUGAGCCGACCUCUCCGUUAGGCUGAAGAUUGCACAAACCAUGAUAAUGGCCAGCAUGGAUGGAGGGAGCGUGUGAGAUGUGCGGGGCAGUGUGCUACGUCUCAGCCAACUCUAGGAGGAAGCAUGGUCAUGGCAAUACCUGGAGUCUCCACUGCAAGACCAGAGUGAUGGAGGCAGCAGAGCUCCUCAGCAGACCAGGAGUCUCCAGAGGCACUGCAGAAUGUCUAAGAAGCAACCUCAUUGUAUUCCCAAGACCUGGGAAUCCAGGUCUCGCAGAUAUGAUGAUACAAUCUAUAGCCAGUACAUCUCUUCAUGUGUAGGAUAAGCAACUAUCCCAGUCUUCCCAGGAUUGAGGGGCUUCUCCAGAUGCUGCACUUCCAGUGCUAAAAAUGAGAAACUGAAAUGAAUUAGUCACCCAAGGAAUGCUGACCCUGUGCUA
rnacentral:lncRNA from 1 species